UACGGAGGGGGCUAGCGUUGUUCGGAAUUACUGGGCGUAAAGAGCUCGUAGGCGGUCUGUCGCGUCUGCUGUGAAAACUCGGGGCUUAACCCCGGGCCUGCAGUGGGUACGGGCAGACUAGAGUGCGGUAGGGGAGACUGGAAUUCCUGGUGUAGCGGUGAAAUGCGCAGAUAUCAGGAGGAACACCGGUGGCGAAGGCGGGUCUCUGGGCCGUAACUGACGCUGAGGAGCGAAAGCGUGGGGAGCGAACAGG
rnacentral:rRNA from 1 species